CACGUCAGCGCGCUAUGCUGACGUGGACACAAAUCGCGUUCUUAAGGCUGCGGUUUGUGUCCACAUCAGCACAGCGCGCUGACGUGG
rfam:Gossypium raimondii Chr01_contig_1127, whole genome shotgun sequence.